AUUGAACGCUGGCGGCAGGCCUAACACAUGCAAGUCGAGCGGAUGAAGGGAGCUUGCUCCUGGAUUCAGCGGCGGACGGGUGAGUAAUGCCUAGGAAUCUGCCUGGUAGUGGGGGAUAACGUCCGGAAACGGGCGCUAAUACCGCAUACGUCCUGAUGGAGAAAGUGGGGGAUCUUCGGACCUCACGCUAUCAGAUGAGCCUAGGUCGGAUUAGCUAGUUGGUGGGGUAAAGGCCUACCAAGGCGACGAUCCGUAACUGGUCUGAGAGGAUGAUCAGUCACACUGGAACUGAGACACGGUCCAGACUCCUACGGGAGGCAGCAGUGGGGAAUAUUGGACAAUGGGCGAAAGCCUGAUCCAGCCAUGCCGCGUGUGUGAAGAAGGUCUUCGGAUUGUAAAGCUCUUUUAGUUGGGAGGAAGGACAGUAAGUUAAUACCUUGCUGUUUUGACGGUACCAACAGAAUAAGCACCGGCUAACUUCGUG
rnacentral:rRNA from 1 species